ACUUUCAACAAUGGAUCUCUUGGUUCCGGCAUCGAUGAAGAACGCAGCGAACUGCGAUAAGUAAUGUGAAUUGCAGAAUUCAGUGAAUCAUCGAGUCUUUGAACGCACAUUGCGCCCCCUGGCAUUCCGGGGGGCAUGCCUGUCCGAGCGUC
rnacentral:rRNA from 1 species